GCCUGGGUGGCUCAGCGGUUGAGCAUCUGCCUUCUGCACAAGGCGUGGGAUCCGGGAUCUAGUCCCACAUCAGGCU
rnacentral:tRNA from 1 species